CGCGUAGGCGGCUUUGUAAGUCGGAUGUGAAAGCCCUGGGCUUAACCUGGGAAUUGCAUUCGAAACUGCAUGGCUAGAGUAUGGUAGAGGGAAGUGGAAUUUCCGGUGUAGCGGUGAAAUGCGUAGAUAUCGGAAGGAACACCAGUGGCGAAGGCGACUUCCUGGGCCAAUACUGACGCUGAGGCGCGAAAGCGUGGGGAGCAAACA
rnacentral:rRNA from 1 species